GAUGAACGCUGGCGGCGUGCCUAAUACAUGCAAGUCGAGCGAACAGACGAGGAGCUUGCUCCUUUGACGUUAGCGGCGGACGGGUGAGUAACACGUAGGUAACCUACCUAUAAGACUGGGAUAACUUCGGGAAACCGGAGCUAAUACCGGAUAAUAUUUCGAACCGCAUGGUUCGAUAGUGAAAGAUGGCUUUGCUAUCACUUAUAGAUGGACCUGCGCCGUAUUAGCUAGUUGGUAAGGUAACGGCUUACCAAGGCAACGAUACGUAGCCGACCCGAGAGGGUGAUCGGCCACACUGGAACUGAGACACGGUCCAGACUCCUACGGGAGGCAGCAGUAGGGAAUCUUCCGCAAUGGGCGAAAGCCUGACGGAGCAACGCCGCGUGAGUGAUGAAGGUCUUCGGAUCGUAAAACUCUGUUAUUAGGGAAGAACAAACGUGUAAGUAACUGUGCACGUCUUGACGGUACCUAAUCAGAAAGCCACGGCUAACUACGUG
rnacentral:rRNA from 1 species